rnacentral:lncRNA from 1 species
AGUACCCAGCUGCAGGUGUCAUGGCGGACUGGCAUGGAGAAUAGAUGAGACAUGGCAGAUAGACAUAACAUAAUGGACGUCCAACCAGAAGUUGUCAUAAUGCACAAAUCGGAAGUCUUCAAACUAAAAAAUGGAAUGUUUGUGUCAUGUUCAGUUCAUUAGUGCUGGUGCUGGGCUGGCUGCUGCAGAGCAAACUCGUGGCCACAGAGGGGCACCGUGCGCCCAACCGCCAUGUCUUCUAUGCAGUUCACAUGGACGGAGGCAGCAGAGCCGCCAGAGCUUUGGCUGAGCAGCACAAGCUGGAGUUCAUACAGCGGGUUGGCAGCCUCAAAGGUCUUUACACCCUGAAAGACAGCAGGGGGCGCCCAAACAGAACCUGCUUUGAGGACGGCCUGGCUGCUGCUGUGGGGGUUCACUGGGUUCAGAGGCAGGACCGUCAUCACAGAGAAAAGAGGGAUCUUCUGAGAGGACUGCAGCCCGGCACCACAAGCAGUUCCCAGAGGACAGAGUCUGCAGCUGACAACCCGCCUGAGGAGAGCAGGAGUGACCAGACCCUCACCUUCAACGACCCGCUUUGGCCCAUGCAGUGGGAGCUGUUUGCACAGUGCGAGUUCAACUCCAGCAGAUUUGACCUAAAUGUGAUGCCAGUUUGGAAGAACAACUUCAUCCAUCACGAUGAUGGUGAGACACUGUUUGCUUGUUGAGACUUGUGUUUUACCAGAUGACGCAAAGAAGAAUAUCAUUACAAAACAAUUCAAAC